GGAUUCGUUAAACCUUUGCUGAACGUUCGCCCCUAGCAGGAGAGCGAGGUGGGGACGCGGCUUCAGGCCGCGCGAGUCGGACGAUCAAGGA
rnacentral:sRNA from 1 species